UACGAAGGGGGCAAGCGUUGUUCGGAAUUACUGGGCGUAAAGAGCUCGUAGGCGGUCUGUCACGUCGGUCGUGAAAACUUGGGGCUUAACCCUGAGCUUGCGGUCGAUACGGGCAUGACUUGAGUUCGGCAGGGGAGACUGGAAUUCCUGGUGUAGCGGUGAAAUGCGCAGAUAUCAGGAGGAACACCGGUGGCGAAGGCGGGUCUCUGGGCCGAUACUGACGCUGAGGAGCGAAAGCGUGGGGAGCGAACAGG
rnacentral:rRNA from 1 species